rnacentral:rRNA from 1 species
UACGUAGGGUGCAAGCGUUAAUCGGAAUUACUGGGCGUAAAGCGUGCGCAGGCGGUUAUGCAAGACAGAUGUGAAAUCCCCGGGCUCAACCUGGGAACUGCAUUUGUGACUGCAUGACUUGAGUACGGUAGAGGGGGAUGGAAUUCCGCGUGUAGCAGUGAAAUGCGUAGAUAUGCGGAGGAACACCGAUGGCGAAGGCAAUCCCCUGGACCUGUACUGACGCUCAGGCACGAAAGCGUGGGGAGCAAACAGGAUUAGAAACCCCUGUAGUCC